UACAGAGGUCUCAAGCGUUGUUCGGAUUCAUUGGGCGUAAAGGGUGUGUAGGUGGCGCCGUAAGUCGGGUGUGAAAUUUCGGAGCUUAACUCUGAAACUGCAUUCGAUACUGCGGUGCUUGAGGACUGGAGAGGAGACUGGAAUUCCCGGUGUAGCGGUGAAAUGCGCAGAUAUCGGGAGGAACACCGGUGGCGAAGGCGGUUCUCUGGGCCUUACCUGACGCUGAGGAGCGAAAGCGUGGGGAGCGAACAGG
rnacentral:rRNA from 1 species